AGGAAAGGCCUGCUGUCAGGGGUCCUUUCCAUAAGUCCCUACCACAGAAGUUUCUCUGCACACACAAAACACCGGAAACCACAAGUGGGAGCUCAGCAUUCCCUCCUUAGCCUGAAGCCACUCCCUGGUGCUUCCUGGCUAUGGUUGCAGCUGUGCUUUGCUGUCCCUGAUCUCUUCUCUCCCUUGGGGAGGAAGAGGAGGAAGAUGCUGUCUGAGUGGC